AGCGGCGGACGGGUGAGUAAUGCCUGGGAAUAUGCCCUGAUGUGGGGGAUAACUAUUGGAAACGAUAGCUAAUACCGCAUAAUCUCUUCGGAGCAAAGAGGGGGACCUUUGGGCCUCUCGCGUCAGGAUUAGCCCAGGUGGGAUUAGCUUGUUGGUGAGGUAAUGGCUCACCAAGGCAACGAUCCCUAGCUGGUCUGAGAGGAUGAUCAGCCACACUGGAACUGAGACACGGUCCAGACUCCUACGGGAGGCAGCAGUGGGGAAUAUUGCACAAUGGGGGAAACCCUGAUGCAGCCAUGCCGCGUGUGUGAAGAAGGCCUUCGGGUUGUAGAGCACUUUCAGUAGGGAGGAAGGUAGUGUAGUUAACACCUGCACUAUUUGACGUUACCUACAGAAGAAGCACCGGCUAACUCCGUGCCAGCAGCCGCGGUAGUACGGAGGGUGCGAGCGUUAAUCGGAAUUACUGGGCGUAAAGCGCAUGCAGGCGGCCUGUUAAGUCAGAUGUGAAAGCCCGGGGCUUAACCUCGGAAUUGCAUUUGAAACUGGCAGG
rnacentral:rRNA from 1 species